UAGGGAAUCUUCCGCAAUGGACGAAAGUCUACGGAGCAACGCCGCGUGAGCGAAGAAGGCCUUCGGGUCGUAAAGCUCUGUUGUUAGGGAAGAACAAGUACGAGAGUAACUGCUCGUACCUUGACGGUACCUAACCAGAAAGCCACGGCUAACUACGUG
rnacentral:rRNA from 1 species